rnacentral:rRNA from 1 species
UACAGAGGUCCCGAGCGUUGUUCGGAUUCACUGGGCGUAAAGGGUGCGUAGGUGGUGAGGUAAGUCGGAUGUGAAAGCUCGGAGCUCAACUCCGAAAUGGCAUUGGAAACUACCUUGCUCGAGGGUUGGAGGGGGGGACUGGAAUACUUGGUGUAGCAGUGAAAUGCGUAGAUAUCGAGAGGAACACCAGUGGCGAAGGCGAGUCCCUGGACAGGUCCUGACGCUGAGGCACGAAAGCGUGGGGGAGCAAACAGG